ACGGCCGUACCGUGCUGAAUAAACCGGUUCUCGUUAGAUCACCGAAGUCAAGCAUCAUUGAGCGCGGUCAGUACUUGGGAGGGUGACCACCUGGGAACACCGCGUGCCGUU
rnacentral:rRNA from 1 species